UUUCUUGGACUGUGCAGGAUCUGUGUAGGAACCUAAAACAUUUGGUUUUCGAAGACUUGGAACUGUGUCCUUUUUAUUAUGAUUGCGGCCAAAAAAAUUCUCAUCUUCAACGCUGUCCAGCUCCUCAAAUGUUUUCUGACAUAAACAUGAGGUGUCAAGAACCAACCACUGUUAACUGUGGCUCUAGGGCUAUACCAGACGGAUAUAUGUGCGACUUUGAAACGACUGCUGAGCCCGAUUGCUUUCUGGAGAAUUCAAAAUCUGACAUAUUUGAUUGGACAAGGAAAACGAGAGAUUGUACUGCCUUUACUUGUUUUAUCAUAUGCAUGGAUCUCAUGUUGGAAAUCUUACAAUCAAAACUAAAGAAAUAUUUAAUAAUCCUGUUGUCUUAAAACAAUUAUCUGGUGAGCAAGGAAAUAAGUGGAAAAAGAUGAGCAGUCUUAAUGUCCGUUUGAAUGGAUAUACCAAGAUUUUGAUUGAAGCUACGAGGGGGAGUAGCUAUGAGGGAGAUAUUUCUAUUGACCUGGUUAUGCUUUUGCCUCGGAAGGUUAGUGGUCAAAGAGCAAACAAUUUCAGCAGUUUAAUUACCAGUAUUUUUCAAAACAAUGUUAAAUAGAUGAUUUUAAAUGAAAUUUAUA